ensembl:snoRNA
UGCAAAUGAUUUUCUCACGAUGGUCUUCCAAGCCCCAAGGGCUCUGACGAUAAUGCCUUAAGGCUAUGCUGAUGCAGCCCC